rnacentral:rRNA from 1 species
AGGACGAACGCUGGCGGCGUGCUUAACACAUGCAAGUCGAACGGGAGUAUUGAAGAAGCUUGCUUUAGAGAUACUUUAGUGGCGGACGGGUGAGUAACGCGUGAGGAGCUGUCCUAUGCAGGGGGACAACAGCUGGAAACGGCUGCUAAUACCCCAUAAGCCGAGAGGUAAAAGGAUCAAUCCGGCAGAGGAGGUACUCGCGUCCUAUCAGCUAGUAGGUGAGGUAACGGCUCACCUAGGCGAAGACGGGUAGCCGGCCUGAGAGGGCGAACGGCCACACUGGAACUGAGACACGGUCCAGACUCCUACGGGAGGCAGCAGUGGGGAAUAUUGGGCAAUGGGGGGAAACCCUGACCCAGCGACGCCGCGUGGGUGAAGAAAUCCUUCGGGAUGUAAAGCCCUGUUGUAUGGGAAGAGCGGAAGACGGUACCAUACGAGGAAGCCCCGGCAAACUACGUGCCAGCCGCGGC